AUUUCGUCCCUGGUCCACACAGUAUUGAUAGCUUGGCAGGUGUAGUUCAAUUGGUAGCUUGUUUAUAACAGAAUUCAUUAACCCUCCACCUUUUAGUACCUUCCUUCUUGCUCGAGCCAUAACAACGAACUGAUAGUAUUCUUUAUAAGUAUGCCUGUUUUAUAGGUUUACACUAGUGUCAUGGAGCUCGUAGCACAGAGCGAGUCAAUACCAGUGCGCAUCACUAAUGAUGAUGAAGUCGAUGCUUGUGACUCGCGACAUGGGUCGUUAUUACCCUCAACUGUUCGAUGCAUAAUCGCAGGCUCAUCCAACUGUGGAAAAACGUGUGUACUACUGAGUUUACUAGAGGAACCAAACGGUCUUCGUUUCGAAAACGUGUACCUAUACUCGAAAUCACUAGAACAACCAAAGUACCAGCGACUGGCUACGAUUCUACAAUCGGUGGAUGGACUGGAGUAUUUUCCAUUUAGAGAUAAUACAGAUGUCGUGUCUUCUGACAAUGCAAGGGCAAAUCAAAUUCGGUGAUUAUUUUCGACGAUGUUGCGUGCGAGAAGCAAGGCAUAAUUAAAAAGUACUUUUCCAUGGGCAGACAUGCCAAGGUAGACUGCAUAUACCUGUGUCAGACAUAUAGCCGUAUACCCAAACAUUUGCUCCGCGAUAACGCGAAUUUUAUAGUACUUUUCCACAUGGACGAACUUAAUUUACGUCACGCUUAUGAUGAUCAUGUAAACACCGACAUGUCAUUUCAGAAAUUUAAAGAUAUGUGUUCCUUAUGCUGGAGCAUUAAGCACGGAUUUCUCGUCAUUGUAAAGGCCUUUACAAAAAGGCAGAUAUCGCAGCGGUUUCGACCACUUCAUAGUUGUGCAUCAUUGAAGAAUGAACUAUAGUGUCUCCAAGUUUGCUGGUGGGAGUCUUAAACAGGGUGUCCACCCAAAUCCAAUUCUGAAAUUCCCUGACUUUUCCCUGUUUUCCCUGACCAUUCAUAAAAUUUUCCCUGACUAUUUAGAAAUGCCAAAAUUACCUAGAUUACUCUGCCUGUAAACAGCUUAGUUAAAAUCACUUGGAAUUAUCACAGAACUAUGAGAUUGGAGAACAGCUUUCUUUUUAUGUAUUAUUAAAAUGCCCAGCAGUUAACUUAAAACUUACCAAUUUUACCAAACUUACCACAAUAUCCUAAUGGCAAAGUAAGUACUUAAGAUGUGUCAACAAAUUAUGCCCCUGAAAAACAUUUAUCCAGAAAAGUAAUGUGAAAUAUCACACAACACAUUACACAGCAGUAGCAAAAAAAUUAUGCCUACAUUACAUGAUUAAGCAAUGUCAGUGUAUCCCCUUACGAACAGUCAUUCCACACUGUCCAGAGUGAACAAAAGGAUAAUUUUUUAAUAGGCAAAUUAUACAAGCAUGUAAUAAAAUUAUAGGUAAAAUACUUGACACAGUUUUUGUUUCACUUGUUUAGAGCAAGGUAAUGUAUUUAAAUAUUUUUCUUUGCACAAAUAAUUUUAAAAAAUUACACAUCUGUACACUAAUCACAUACGUGUUCACUUGAACCAACACUGCAUCGUAGACAAGUCUCUGUGCUAUAAGCGAUUCUUCAUGAAGAUUUUCUACGAGGAUUUCCUUGUUUACGGAAAAACCCCGUUCCAAUGCAGCAUUUCCGUGAAACAAAAUGAAGAUCAUUUUUAAAAAUGAUGUAAGUGCUUCAGACAUGCCUGAUCUUGUAAGCAGAAGACUAUACAACCAGAAACUGUCUAGUCUUUCAUUAUGGGGUGAAAAAGUUUUAGCAACAUCUAGAAAUGUGUUGCUUGCACAUACUUCCCUGAAUUCUCUUUGAACCAUGUCAGCUUCAGUACCUGAAAUCCAAUUAUUGGAAACAAAAGUUUUUAAGGCAAGAUUCAAACGCUUACCUCUAAUGGCUGGUAUUCUCGCUAUUCUGGGUCAAAACAGGAAAUUCCUUUGGUGAGCGUGAAUUUAAUUGGAGACUGUUCUACUAAAAGUUUACAAAAAACAACCAUGGCGUUCCGGCAGUCCAAAUGAAAUUCCAACACCUCUUUUUCGUUAACUCCAUGUGUAUUACGAAGUGCUGCAGUAGUAGAAUAUCCUAGAUCAAUGUUUUUAGCAAAAAUCAAGUUUUCUUUUUCUCGAAUUCCACUGAUGCUAUGCUUUUGGCACGUUCAAUCACAUCUGAUUUCACGAACCUUGAUAAAACACAUUUCAUUGUGACUAAUAUUGCUUCAUACAAGAGUGGUGCGAGAGGAGCAUCUGACUGGAAUUUUGUCAAGAAAGGUUCCAAGUCUGCUGCAAGUAACUGAAAAAAGCAAAGCUUUGCCUUCAGUAGCUUAUCCUGAAUACCCUUCGACACAAUUUUAAAACUAUUACAUGAUGGGGUUUUCCUGUCUUCACACCCUCAACAUACUUUUCAACGUAUGGAAGAAUCUGCAAUGCCCUAGCAGCUACACUGAAAUUCUCAACCCAACGGAUGGCACAAUAUUUCAUUGGGAACAAUUGUGAACCUGAAUAGAAGUAAUAAUCAGCUCUAUGAGCAGGUACAUGCUGAAAUAAAAAAUGAAGAGCUCUGAGAAAUUCUAUAAUGCACCAACCAGCUUUUUUUAUUGCAGUUUUGUAAGCAUUGUGGAGUGUAUGCAAUCCACAUGUUCCUACAGAUAGUAACAUGGGAAAAUCUGGAUCACUGUUAAGUUAGGAUUUCAAAUCUAUUAAGAAUUUCAUAUUAACGUUAGGCCCGUCCAUAGAAACAUGAAGCAUUUUUUUAAGAUCAAGACCUUUCAAUGCCUGUAAGAAACCAUUAAGUAGGUCAAGAGAAGUGGAAUGACCCAAAAACACUGACCCAAAAUAACGUGUCGACACUGAGUUAGUGUUUGAGUUCCAAAAACGUAUUACAAUGUCCAUCUGAUUCUUUUGUAACACUUUAUUCGACGAUUCGUCGAAACCCACACAAAAAUGUGUACAUCUCUUGCACUCAUCCAGAAGUUUGUCUUUGAAAAAUGGAGCUAUACCAUGCAAAAUUACAUAAGCAUUUUUUGUUUUGUGCAACUGCAUCUUGGAAGCAACUUUGGAGUCUGGAAAUAAAAGAGGAAACAAUGUCACACUUUCCUCACUUGCCCGUAAAGAGAAAUGUUGCAUUACACUGUGCAUGCACCACAGAACUUCUGCUUUCACCACACUCUCUUUGAAAAUAAAACCUUCUAACCCUUUGCCUGAGUCCACUGAUACAGUUUUACAUUCUUGUAAAGUUGAUAAUGUAGCCUCCUUAGAAAUGUCAUUGGAAAUAUUUUGUUCUGAAGAACACGGUAGUGAUGUUUGCAUUGAUGGCUGUUCUAAGAAGUAGCUCCGGAAUUUUGUUUUAAAAAAAAUGUACCUUGAAUGACUGCAAGACUGAGUUAAUGGCAACCUGAUGUUUCCUUCCCUCCAUGUGGCUUGUAACUGCCCGCCUUCCCAUAUUGCUGAGUGCAAAACUGGUUUUGCACACUGUGCAAAAGGCUCUCCAUGGAUCUUUUGGCAUAGGUUGCAACCAUGAAGAAUAUUUUUCAUUCAGCAUCCAUUCAGAAUUAAAGGAACAUUUUUUUGAUUUCGAAAGUGACAUUUCUGUAAAGAAAAUAACCACUGAUGUAGACUUAAUGUUAAUAUUUUCACUAUUUCAAAAAUAAAAAAAAAUUAAACCCAGUUUAAUUUAACACCCUUUCAUUACUUUUUAUAUAACUGACGCAAGCAAACCACACUUUUAUUUAACUAUUUUCACGUACGAUUACUUAAGGUAACAUAACUAAGUCUUAAACCUAUUUAAGUAAUGUUAUGCACAGCAACUUGAAAGUAGUUUACAUUAUUACAUGUGACUGAGCACUAUCACUUGUUUCAUUCAUACGACUUUGGUUAGGCAUACCUGUAAAUAAAUAUUUUUCCUUCCGAAAUUGGUGUUUUCCUAUGUAAAAUGAACAUACUUUCAGAAAAUCAUGGGAGCUUUAAUGUAUCUUAAUAACUUUUUUUACAAUUUAGGCUUUGACUUGGAACAUAGCAAGCAUUCCGGCGGUUUUUACGUGCAGAAAAACUUAUUUUAUUUGGAAAUUUAACUGUAUUUCAACGUAAAAUUAAAUGCAUCUUUCGAAAAUAAUGUGUUCGAUAAUAUAUUUCCGUUAAUUUUUACAAAUUUACUCUUCACCGCGCGGCGGCCAUUACCAGAUGAAGAGCAAACAAAUAAAAGGAUAUUUUUCCAGUACAACUAUGGGAACCAUGGACCUGCCAUUGGAUAUUUUGGGGAACCUUUCACAAUAGAAAAAAAGACAUACAUGCAAUGUUCACAAGGCCCCAAAUAUUUCAAUUCGAAACAGAAUGUUGAACAAUUGCCUGACCACCCAAACACAACAAAGAAGAAAUUCUUGAUUCAAAACUCAAAGAAAAUUGACUGCCCAGCAGUUAUGACUGUCAAAUGUGUAAGGGUCUACCCAGAUUUUUCUUCACCAAACGUGAAGAAGAAGAAAGUUGCAAUGAUGAAAAAACUGAAGGAAGAACUGCAGAAAAAAUCUAUCUUAAAUAGUUAUCUUCGUUAUUAUGUAAAAGUUAGUUGUGCAGAGGUGCAUACUCAUUCCACUACAUGCCCGCAUCUCUGCCAACUAACUCAUUCUGAUUUGGUAAGUGAAAUAAAAAGAAUAGUAGAUGAUGGAAUCACUGCCACUAGAAGUUUAUAUGUAUGUAUUUUGUAUUAAAUAUUUAAUGCAACUUCCAGUUUAUGAGAGAUUGGAGGUAUAGCCACAAUGUCAUCAAUAAAUGCAAUGUGUUUAAAGUACAUUAUUUUCUUCUAAAGCUGUCACGUCUGUACCCAAUUCCAUGUGCACUUUAAAAAAUACAUAUUCACUUGUAUUUUUUUAUAAAAACAAUAAAAUAUAUAGGUUAAAAAUUUGUAAUAUUUAUUAGUUUGCCACAUCUGUUUUAAAACUAAUGUUCUAUGAAUCAUAAAAAUGAUAAUAUUGCACCCUGUUAUAAUGUUCCCGCUUAUAGUGUUUUCAUUCUUAUAAUGUUCAACAUUUUCCCCAUAAGAAAAAUGUAUUUAUUUCCUGCAUAUAAUGUUCCACAAAUGGUGCAUUUCCUGCUUAUAAUGUUUUCUUUCUGAAAUUCAUAAAGGUAAAAUAAAUAAAGUAUAUAUAUUUAAAAAUCAAACAAAAAUGUUUUAUAUGGCUGACAGAGUUUAAUUUAUUUCAUUUUUAGGUAGGAAUUUCAUAAUUACACAUUUUCAAUGGAAAAAGAAAUUCUAAAUAGGCAUUCCCACUCUUAACGUCAUUGCUAUGUAUUGUGAGAUAUUUUACAGAAAUGUGGCAGUGUGUACUCAAAGACAAAUAAAAUAUAAGCUGGAAGCACAACAAAGUUUAAAAAUUGGUUAAUCAAAUUUCAGUAUUGAAUGCACACAUCAGUGAUUUUAACAUUAUAUAUAUUGAUUUACACAAUUUUAUGUGGCUGUUGACGAAAAUAAAACACUUACAAAUGCUAGAUUGACAUUUCCUGCUUAUAACGUUUUCCUGCUUAUAAUGUUCAUUCCUCAUGGUCCCUUGAAAAACAUUAAUACAGGUUCUACUGUAUAUGAUUAGAAACCUGCCCAGAAUUUUCUUCACCAGAUAUCAUGAAAGAAACCUGCCAAAUACCAAGAGGAAAUUUUAACAAUUUUUUCAUCUGCAAAACAGCAUCAGUUUCCUUAAAUUAAUGUGUAACACUUAGGUCAAUCUACAGUAUAUUUGACAAGGUUUCCUCACUGAUAGCAUCAGAGAAAUUAAUAUUGACACUAAUGUUGCUCAAAAACAAAAAUACCUUGUAGAAAAACACCUUAAUAAUUUUUUAUUUUCAAUAUUUUUUAUUUAAAUAGCAAUUCUUUUCCUCUUACAUGAAAUGGUUUAUAAAUAAUACACUUAGAGCAGUUAAAAUGAGGAUUAAAUCACUGACAGUUUACAUCUCCCGUCCAAGGAGAUGAUCGAAAUCUACUGUUAUUUUCUUCAUGUGCCUGCAACAAUGAAACAAAUUACAACAUAUGUAUUGACCAUGAUUAAGUUUUUUAUGAGGUACUAGAGAGAAACUGAUCAAUAACCAGUCACAUUCCAAGUCAGUUCCAUCAGGCAACUCACAAUAGCAACUAUGCAAGACUUUCUUGAAGAUUUUGUACAGUUGACGUAAAUAAAAAAAGGUUUACUAACAUUUGUAAGUUACUUCUUUAUCAUUGGUUACUGUCGAGUUAUUAAUUAAAGAAAAAUAAAUAUAUGAGCAUUUGCAGCUUUUUAUAACAAUUUUAUAUCUGACCAAUUUUUUGAAGAUGAACAUUAAAUAUGCCUUGAAUUCCCCAACUUCACUGUAGCAGGUAAAACCCAGGGCACAAGGCCAGCUGAGGUCAUCACUGCACAAACAUUUGUGGUCGUUGUAGGUCAAAUGUGGACACUAUUGGUCAACAAAUAUUUUUAAAUUACAUAUUCCAAAAGAGAUUUAUUUGCAGGUAAUUCAUACCAGCAAGCGUUUAAUUGUCUUUCCUGUAACUACCGCAAAUAAUUGUAUUUGAUAAGUUGCAGCGAGACCCUACUGGUUAAGAAAUAAUCUGACAGAAAAGUGGGACAAUGCAGCUACCUUCCUUUUCCAAAAUAUAAAUAUAAAAGAGGGAGGCAGCUCCAUGUGAGCCAACCAACAAAUCAAAACAAACAUUAUAAAGGAAAUAUACUAAGCCAACAAGGCCAGUUCCCUUAAGUUAACUAACAAAAUCAUUGUUCUGUAAGGUUCUGGAGCAACACUUUACACCAGGGUGGAGUAGUUUGUCCUGCUCGGCAGCUCAAAGUAACUUACAUUGAACAUGUGACCAACCGACCAAUCACAGCAUAGAAUUCAGAACAUGACCAUAAAAGGAAUUUCUCAAAAUCAGUAAGGUUGAAACUGCAAAAGCGUAAUUAAUUACAAAUGUAAAAAUUUAAGUGUAAACAUCACUAAGAAAAUAAAAUUGUAAUAAAAAAUUACUAUUGGUGCCUAUGCUUAAUAGAAGAAACAUGAGUAUAUAUAUUCAUUAUGAAACCUUGACACAACAUGAGCAACACAUCACAGUCUCAGUUAAAGUAAGUAGGUGGGGAAAGGAAUUAUGCUAUAUUACAACCUGAUCCGGUGGUACGUGAUGCUUUUUUUUUAGCAGUGAGGAGGUGCGGAAGCCUCACAAUGCGUACCCACCAAAAAAAAAGCAGCAUGUACCACCGGAUCAUGCAAACAGGAUCAACGGUAUAACAUUCAACAUAACAUUUUAAACGUUCAAAACUCACGUCUUUGGGUAACAUACUUCUUGACAACAGCAAUACUUUUUCUGUGGCAUAUGUUGCUGGCAGUAUUGCUGGAAAUAUUUUGGCACCGUCAUCAUGUGGGGAUUGUAAAGAAGUUUUGGCAGUAGAAACACCUGAUGUUGUUUUACACAAAAUGCUCCGGACUUACUUAUCCAUCUGAACAACUCAUAAAGUGUGUUAACUUGGGAGCACAGCUAAAUGAUAAAACACUUUCAAAGAUUGCGCACCUUCAGGGCAUUCAAGUUGCAGUUACAGCAGUAUUAUUGAAAGAGAUCGACUUCAGUUGGUUACGUGGCUGUUCUCUUCAUGGUGAACAACUUCAUAGUGGAAUUAUUAGUGGUAUGUGUCGUGUAACAAUUCCAUGGUGGUGCACAAGGUGAAAUAGGGAAUUAUCAAAGUCCACCAAAGUAAAAUCUCAGCUGAAGAAACUUAAAAUUCUGCAACACCAGUAAUAGUAUUUUUGUUAUAGGUAAUUGCAUUAUGUGCCAUCCGUGUUCACUCUAUUUUAUUAAUGGCUUCAUUGGAUAACUGCAGGGUAUAUGUUUUUGCACAGAUCAGGCUUUUUGUUCAACUUUUGUUAGUUUCAUACUAUAAUGAAAUCUAUCAACAUUUUACAGUUUGUAAAUUUCAAAGAUUUUUGGUGUAGACCAACUUUAUUUCUUGAAGUUGGAACACGUUUCAAAUAACCGUAACGAAUAAUAUCACCAUAGUAACUCAAUGUUCUUUCAUAUUGACAGAGUGAAGUGAAACAGGUUGUUUCAAAGGAAAGAACCAUUAUCAGAAAUACUAAAGGAUGAUUACCUUUAUUAGGCAUAUUGUACGUUAUUAUUAUUAUUAUUGAUAUUAUUGACACAAUGCACUUGUGGUAGAAUAUAUAAUUCCUAAAUUUAACAUUGACUUUUAGGUCAAUCUGUGUAACACAAUGUACCAAACGAACAGUCGUGUGUUGUAAAAAUACCCUAGCUCCCAAUUACUAAUUAAGACCAAUACAGUACUUUAAACAUUAACAGAGGAAAAAGUGAAUAUGUGUUAAAACUAUCUUCAGCAGGUCGUAGAAAUGUUCAAGUUUAUGUUAACCCACUAUCCCUAACUCAUGGUAUGAUGAGGAGGGUACAUUUCUGCUUGUUCUCCAUUUUUAAUCCAAAUUUCAAGUUUUUAUAUUAGCAAACUUUUUUAGAUUUUGUGUCUUAAAAAAGCAAAUUAAAAUAGGUCUCAUCAGAUACAAUAUAAUUGUUAUUGUGUUCCUUUUGGUUUAAAAAGUGGUGUUAUAUCAGUUGGAACAGUUUCCCAGUGUGUUAAUCUGUUUGUUGUUUGGUAUUUGUGGAUAUUUCCUGUGUAUAAAAUUUAUCAAUUCCCUAUAUUAGGACAUGCAAUCACAGUAUUGUAAAACACAGGUCAUGUUUUUGUUAUUGUAUGAAACUGUAGUGUGUGUUUCCAAAUAGGCUUUGUACAUUGGUUAGCUGUAUUUAUUUGUACUAAGCACUAAAUGGUGAAUAAUAAAUAUCAUUUUUGCUUUUUCAGAACUGACAGUAGGUCAGAGAUGGGUAUUUUUUGAAUAUCAGUAAUAGUGUGGUACAAUGCAAUGUAUAUGUUUCUACAUGUUGAAUCACUUCUGUACAUUCUUGUUGUAACACAUUUAGGAGAGUAAUUUAACAGGCCAGUGUUUUGUUUUGCACUGCUUACGCUAUAUAUAUUUGCUUUAGAGAAAAAUUAAUACACUCACAAAUUUGAAAGAACUGUUAUUAUAUGAGUUCCAUGAGUAAGUUACCAAUGUUAAUAGGAAAGACCAAGUGAUACACAAUGCAAAAAAAUUUGUCUUCUAUAAAUAUAAUGAUAAAAACUAAUGAUAAUUGUGUUUACUAUAUUAUCUUAUGAUUUAAUUGAAACAGUACCAUUGUGAUGAGUGAGUAGCUAUGUGUAAGAGGUGCACUUUAAUUAGCACAUUCUUUUCAAUACAGUAAAUGCAGAAACCAGGCGACAUGAAAUACUGAAGGGUUUUCUUCUGCUUCCUAUUUUUUUGUUUUCUAUUGAAGUAAUUUCAUUGCUGCAGAUAGAGUGGGUACAGAUAUUUGCAAGGUGCUUGAAAACUAAGCCUUCUGUUGACAUAAAGAAUUACCUUGAAAUAAAUUAAACCUGGUGUGACCAUCAUAACUAGUGACUGAUACUUGCAAAAAAAUUAUUUUGUUACAAAUGCAAUUAUCUUUAAAAAAUUUCAGUUCAGUGCUGCUGAGAAAAUGUAAGUGACUAAACUGCCUUUCACUUAACCAAAAACUGCAAAAAUACAUCACAUACAGGACAGCAAUAAGAAUUAUAUGAAAGGUAAUAACUAUAAAAAAUUAACGUCUUAUUGAAAUAAUGGGACGACUUGAAAUACAAGAGGUUGGUAGUGUAGACAGGGAAGGGUUCAGGGCAGAGAGUGAACGAGAGAAUGAAUGCUGCGUUGAUGAGGGUAAAGGUGAUAUUACACGGACCCGGAUUCUGCAACUGCUUGUGCAAGGUCUGCCAUAACAGCUGAUAUACCUGCCAAGGAUGUGACCAUCGUGGCAUUUAUCGCCAGGUAUGGCAGAAACCAUCACUGGUUUGGCAAUUGGGCACAUCCUAUUUUCUGUUGCAAGGUCUCAACACAGAUUUCGUACCUGGCCAAUCAUAUUGCAGUAUCCUAGCGCGGAGCGCUCUUAGUGAUAUUCAGUGGAACCAACAGUAGUAAACAAUGGUAGAGGACAGGUGAACGCAAAAAUGACGACGAAAAUGUGGACAACCGAACACGUAAUUGCACUGUGCGAAAAUUAUAGCCAACACCCUUGCCUGUUUAAUUCGAAGCUGCCGAACUAUCACAAUAAAACUAUAAGAACGCGGGCGUUGGACGCUGUAGCGCAUAGCGUGUUUGUGUUACGUCCUGGAACGACAGUUGCCGACGUAAAAACAAAACUUGCGUCUCUGCGAAGCCAGUAUGUGUGCGAACACAAUAAGGUGACGGCUUCGAGAAAAAGUGGUGCCUCUACAGACCAGGUAACCUUAAUCAUAUUUAAAUGUAUGUAUUAUUAUAAUAUGUUCACGUGGCUUUCUAAGUUUCUCAGUCUAUUGUUCAAAUGUUUGCAUUUUUGUACUAUAUUUUAGAUCUGAAAAAAUAGGUACCUACACCUAUUCACUUAAUUGUACUUUAUAUAAUAUUUUAUUAUCACAGUUUUAGAUUAAAGAAAGUAAAUACGUACGGUAAACUGUUUAAUUUGAGGGUGUUUUGUGCAAAUCGAGGUAUUUUACAGUGCUAAUAGUAAAAAAAUCACUGACGGCCAAAGUUCCGUAUCACGUAUCCUAUUUUAUCAAACUAUGUUUUAUUCAACACAAGGUAAUAAUUAAUUGUUAUAAUAAACGUAUAAUGUGCACGAUAUUUCGUUGUACUAAAUUAAAACAGGAUCUGUUUACAGGAUAAUGCCAUCAGGAUCAAGGGCUGAACUUGGAUACGUGAUACGGAACAAUUACGUCACUGACAGAUACGGAAUAGUAGUUCAAACAUUGUCGGCUAUGUUUUGGUUAUAGUUUAUGAAGUGGUAAUGGUAAGAGUUAGCAAAACUUAAAUUUAAAGGUGCAAUAAUAAAUAUGUUGUGUACAAAUGUCUUGAAUCUUAACAAUACAUAUAAAUAAGUGGCCUAAAUUAUAAAAUUUUGGAGACAAAUAUUUCGUAGAUAGUUUGGUUUUAUAGGGUGGAGGAAAUUUAUAAUCUCUUCCUACACCUUCAGUGCUUGUGUCACUGCUCUCCUUUGAACAUAAAGCCUAAGUAGGGUUUGAUUUAUGUUUCAGGUUUAUGUUCCCAGUCUGUGGUAUUACAAAUACCUCACUUUCUUGUCUGAACAUGUUGUGGCAAGGAAAGCCAAGGAAACUUCAAUAUGCUCAAAUUUGGUAAAUAUUAAUAAAUUUUAAUUUACAGCUUACUACAGUAUGUAAUUGAUUGUCUCUGUAGAGAGUAAGUUAGGUCCUCUUUAUAAAGGCCUACUUACUAUUGCAAACCAAACAUCUUAAAAUAUCAGUAUUAAUUGAAUGGAACUGUUAAUUAAAGGGGCUUUGAAAAAUCUUUUGAUAAUGAUGCAAAUACUGAUUUUCAAAUUCAGGCAGAAUACUUACAAAAAGUGUGUUGCAAAGGUGGUUUAAUUUUGGUAAGGGAUACAAAAUCUACACUCCCACAAUUUAUUUGAGGGUUGACACCAAAGUUUAAUAGAUAUAUACUAUUGCCAAUUAUACACAAAUAAAGUUUUUUCUAGGUAUUAAUAACUUUAGAUGUAUUAUUGUAUGUAUUAUUUGUAUGUAAUUACACAAUACUUAGGUAGUGUCUCAUAAUGCAUCUUUUGAUAUCCACACUAUUUCUGUCACACUGAAAAAUGAAAACAACAUGACAACUAUUCCUGUGAAAAAUAUUUAUUAAUAUUAUUUCUCAGUAAUAUCAUUAGUAGGGGUUUUGCACACUGGGAAGACAUAAGUAAUUGAGUGUAGCAAAAAUGAGCUGCUUUUGUUGUUUGUCUAUGACAGAUAUACAUACUUUGAUAACAGAAGAAAGGUUUGUAAUGCUGUAAAUUGAUAGAAUAAACAUAUACCAUAUUAUGCAUAAUACUGUAGGUACUUGGCAAAUUUAUAGCAGAUAAAAAAUAUUGAUGUAGCAAUGACUAAUAUGUAGAUAGUGCUUACAACUAUUUGGAUUUUUAAACUGAUGUACACUAUACAGAUAUAUUUAUAUAAAAGCAUUAUAAGGUUAUUCAUGUUACAGUAAAGUUAUUUUGUAUGCCAUUAAAAAGGACAUGUUUUGUUAAUAUGUAUGUAAAAUAUUACAUAUUUUUAAUACAAUUAUUUUUUUUCCAUAUUGUCAUGCACAAAACCUCAUUUCGAAUAGAAGCCAUAAAACCAGAUCUUAGGCAUAACUUGUAAUGUUACAUUAGCCGGAGUGUAGUAUGCCUUUAUAUUUACAGUACAUGUGCCCCAAACAUCUGCGAACAACACAAAUAUGUUGUUUUUAAAUAAAAUGUGAUUAAAUAAUUUUUAAUGAAGGACACUGACUAUAUAUAUUUCUGUCACUAGAUGUAUUACAUUUAACCAAGAACAUGCAGAAUACUUGGAGAGAUAAAUUUGUCAAUACUUUAGAAAUGAAUAGCCAUUAAAAGCAGGGAAUGAUAAAAUAGGCCCCAUGGCUAAUGCUUUACAUGUGUUUGCACUACUCAAUAAUUAAAUAUGGGAAUAGCUAUGUAUAGGCUACUAUAUACUAACAUGUUUAUUUACAAAUUAUUAUGCAAUACAUACGAAAAUAAAUUUUAAAGAAUUAUGAGCUUCAAUUUAAAAAAAGUAUAUAUUUCCUCCUUUAUUGCUGUAGUGAGUAAAUGGCAUAUAACAAAAAGUAGAAAUUUUCAACUGUUAAAAAAUAUCUGUUAAUGUUUCUUUUGUUCUAAUAGAGCCUGUUAUUGAAAACAUUUGUUAACAGUUGAACAGGUAGUGUUUACUGUCUACAGGUAGACCAAACACCUUCGUACAGAAGCUGCACAGACGGGGAAGUACAUUCACCGUCAUUGCUCGAGGGAGAGGAUCAGGGUGUAUCCCUUCUACCUGAACUAGGGGGCAGUGAUGAUACGUUUUAUGAAGGUGGCUGCAUUCCGCUUCAAGUUUAUGUGGAGCCUUUGACAUUCAAUCACCCUGAGUCCUGCAACUCAACACCACAAAUGCCACAAUCCACACCAAAAAGGAAUGCUACAAAUCCAGAAAAAGAAGAUACCAUACCAGCAAUGAAGCAUUUCAGAGGAAAUGUCAAAAGAAAAACCUGUGAUAAAACUUAAACACCAUCGCAGGAAGCCUUAAAAUCUAUUGCAAAGGCUCUGGAAGCACCUGUAAUUAAUUCACCUCCCACACCUUCACAAAGCUUGGCAUCAUAUAUUUGUGGUGUAUUAGAUAACUUGAAAGAUCCUGUGGUAAAAAUUCAAACCACUAAGAAACUGUUGGAUGUAUUGACAGAUGCUCAGCUGCAGGACCUGAGUACCAAUAACAGUUUACAGCAACAAUAAAACUGUAGUAUUACAUUUUCUUGUACAUUUGUGGUAUGUAUUUUAAAAUAUAGAAAAGCUGUAUAGGUUUUAAAAUGCUUUCCAACUGAGUUUUCCCUAAAUAUAUUAAAAAAUUUGUUAUUAUGUAGGUUUGGUUUUCUCAGGACUGAAUUUGCAUAGCAAAAGGGAAUAUAAUUUGCAAUUUCAUAAUUUUGUGACAUAUGACACAAGUUAUAGAGGAAAAUUGUCCAUAUGAUGUGAUGUAAAUUUAAUCCAAAUGUGAUAGUGUAGAUCAGAUCUCACUAAACAGUAUAAACUUACCAAAAUGGUCAGUUGGCAAUAAAUUUGAUUGAAUGUUUUUAUAUGUAUCAAAAAUCUGCUCCUUCAUUAUACGCUAUUUAAUCAAGUUUGCUAAACGUAGAGCCGUUUGUAGAAACAUUUGUUUUGAAUUAUUGUAGAAUUUUACACAGUUCUGAAUCACAGACAAAAUGAAGCUACUAUAUUGAAAUAUUGACAAAACAUUUGAGAAAAACUGCAAAUAUCACUGUUAUCAUUUGCAGGAUUUGAGAUUCUCUUCAGCAUUUAAGUUAUCCAUUGAAUGGCUGUUAAGCUGGUAAUAUGACCAUUGUGUGUUAUGUCUAGAGCCACGAUUAUAUGGUAAUGCGCGAUAAAACGAAAUAACACAGAAAACCGCUUGAAAACACGAAAUAAAACGAAAUUGUGCGAAAUCCGCGAUAUGUCACGAAAGUUCGUCUAUCCUGAUUAUUUACGGUUUUUUUCCCAUUCUGUAAGGACAAUUCACUACCUUCAGCACAAUCAAAUAUUUCUUACAGUAACUAGCAGCCAUAUAUAUUAUAUGCGACGGUGAUUCAUUAUAGAUUUUAAAAUGAAGUCUCGGAAUUAACGUAAUAUUUUCUUUAAACGGUAAUCAUGUGUACCAUAAUAAUUUAAGAUGUUGAUAACUAUGAUGCAAUGGCCGCCGUUCACUUUCUGUAAAUACAAAAAUAACAAACGUCCAAAAUAUGUUUUUCUAAGAUUACGUUUUUAAUAAUUAAAAUAUUACACACUAAAGCGCAUUGCUUUUACUGUUUAUUUAAAAUAAAGUACGUAGGCUACGAAAAUAAAAUUAACCCUGCUUAACUUAACGAUUGUAAAUAAUAAAUCAUGUUUAUGUCGGUAUUAAUUUUCACGUACGUAUGUUGGUAUUCGGUAUGCGUUUGUAUUCGCAACUAUUCUCCAUUGUUUUGAUCUUUCCAGCACGGCAAGUUUUUGCGUAUUGAGAGGUUAAAUUCUUCCUAUGUGAUUAAAUUUUUUUGAUAAUGCCUAAAACUAAGGUUUCUGCCAGUGACCGAUCGAAAGAAUUUUCCAGUGAAGGAUUUUAUAUCAGUGAUAAAAUUUUAAUGUGCAAAUUCUGUAACUGCAGGCUAGACUACGAGAGACGCGAUACGCUUGUGAAACAUGUCGCGAGUGAGAAACAUAAGCGUUUGAGGCAAAACUCAUCUGUUAAACGACAUCCUUGUCUAAGAGUCUUUAAUGCCAUUAAUUUGCGGUUCAACCCAAGAAAUGUGAGUAGGGUUAGCAUAGAAGAUGCAAACCUACAGAAGUCUCUGCAUAACUUGCCUUCUGUUUCCCAUCUUCCCAUUGAUACAUUCAUACAUGGCUAUGUUGCUUUCAAAAAAAUAAUUGAGGAUGAACUUUCAUUGACAGAAACAAGCCAAAUUGAUGUUGCAAAGGUACUUUGCUCCCUUAAAGAGGACUACAGUGAAUUUGCUCAAGCCAGUUUAAGGGCAAUCUGGUUCCCAACAUCAAAUGUUGGUGCAAAACGUUCAUUUUCCAGGUACUCACUGGUAGUUAGUGACAGAAGACAACGUCUCACUCCAGAAAAUGCAGAAAAUUUAACUAUGAUAGCAUUUCAAUAAAACCGUCUUAAUAGUAACUUUGGAAGUGCUUAAUUGUGUAAUUUUGUAGUGUAUGUGAUUGUAAUUAAGUCGUGAAAUUUUUAGUAGUUAUUUAAAAGUUUGAAUUUAUGAAUUUGCAAAUGAACUUAAUUAUCUAUGAAUUUGCAAAUGAACUUAAUUGUAAUUAGAUCAUGAGGUUUUAGUGUUUAUUAAUAUUUGUUUUAAUAAAUUUGCAUGUCGUACAGAAAAGCAAGAAAAUUUUGCCGUGGGUAUUUUGAGCAAAAAAAAUAAAACCAUAUAACACCGAAAUCUUUAUUUCUUUACACCGAAAUUUGUCUUAAAAUAACACCACAAAAUCUUGACUCUAGUUAUGCCACAUUCACAAUCAGGAAUAUUUUAGUAAAUACAGUACCAACUUGUGACUUUAGUGCUAAGUAUGGAAAUAUUUAGCAUUAACAAAAUUGCAUCAUUAAAUUUUUGGGCUCGCAUGUCAUAAAUAGCUAAGGUGGAAUUCUACACAUAAGAAAAUUCACAGUACAAGAAUUAAUUCAGCAGGUUUAUUGCUGUGAAAGUUAUUGAUAACAUUUCUUAUUUAUUGAAAAUCGGUUUUUCUCUUCAUACUUUCACUUUGUAAUUAGAUUUUAAAUGAUUUUCAGCAUUAUAACAGUAAAUUUUUGUGAUCUAAACAAAACCAAUAAGUUCUAAACAGAGUGAAUAAAGUAUAUUUUGCUUAAAUAAAUCUUAUGGUCAUCUUGGUUUCACAGGUGUAUACUCUAUAGGUACUCAUAAAAUAAAAAUACUUUUUUAAACAUCAAUUUAUUAUAAGUAAAUAGUGAAAUAGGCUCUAUUUACCAGAAUGUAUGUUAGACAUAAUCACAUAUUUAUAUACCACGAAGGUGCUUAAAAUUAUAAUAUUAAACCUGUGUAAUAUGUUGCGAGCGAGGGUAAAAUAAGUAACUAAUUCUAAUCAUAAAUAAUUAAAAUGUUCUACAAACAAAUGCAUUUUAAGAAAUUAAUUUAGUAUACUGUUAUGAAUAGUUUGUUCAUUAAUAUAAUUACCACUGUCAAAUUUGUCACCGGUAAUAAUUAUAGUUAUACUUAUGCCCCUCUAGUCUAUGAAAUAAAAUUUAUGUAUAUACAUUGUAGCACUGAAAUUUUAAUUUGUGUCUGUAAGGUUGUGAAAUAUUUUGGAAGCACUCAUAAGCCAUCACAUUGUAUGUACUUUCCCGUUUCUUAUAAAAUAAUAUAGAAUUGCACUUAACAGGUAUAUCAUCUGUUAUGGCAGAUCUUGCACUGCACAUGUGUGUUUUCAUUAAACUUUACUUAAAAAUACUCGUAUGGUUAUUUUCCAAUUGUUAUGUUUACCAGUGCUACAUUUUGUAAAAAUGAUUGGAUUGGAUUGUAUAUGUGUUUUGACAGUAAUAAAGAAAUUAUGAUCUUACUUCUCUACAUAUCAUCUUUUAUGUGAUUAUUGCUGGUUUAAGGUUAUUUUAUUUCUAUAUUUGGUAAACAUGGGUAACACAUUUGCCAUGUAGGUCCUGUUAACUUGUGGCCUGGUGAAGAUUUCACCAAAUCAUUAAGGGAUGUAAGUUAUACACAUUACUCAUUACAGAUCACUGCCUGUGAAGCUGCUGUUGUAAAUUAAAAAUGAACUUGGACAAAUUUCUCAUUUAGGUAAUGAUAUAUCUUUUUUGUAAAACAUAUUAUAUAAGUGAUUUAAACAAAAUAAUCUGUAAACCCAAUUGCAAUUCCAAUCUAAUGUGUUUCAGGAAACCACUUAUAAUCUGUUAUAUUGUUCUUUGGUUACCUAAUAUAACUGACAUAAAACAUAAUUAUACAUUAUUUACUUAAAUUUCGGCGCGUGGGGUCUUUAUUACGUGUUUAACUCGGUUUGCGUGCGCAUCGCCUUUUCUGCUUCGAGCUAGUAAACCAGCUUCUGUCGUGAAAUAGGAAAACUCUAUACCGGCUUACAUGGCAGCCAGUUCAACUGCUGUCAUACUGGCCUUUGUAGGAGCUUGUGGCAGAACCCUGUACGGCAGCAGGGGUGCCGCAGGGAAGUGUGUUCGAUCCUAUAUUGUUCACCAUAAUGUUAAAAUUACAUAUGUUUGGAGGUAACCAGCAGGAUAAGGUUGUUUUAUGAUGAUUGUGUGCUACAUUCAGUGGUUGGAGAAAGAGAAAGAUGCAGGAAGAUAUUGAGUGGAUAAGGUUUUGGACAGUUGUAAAACGAUGAAGUUAAAUUUUUUGAAAAACAGAAGUGGUACAGUUUUUGAGCAAAAGGUUGAAUAGUAUGAGGGAGGGGAGGAAAUAAGUAAAACAUCAGAGUAAAAGUUAGGAGUGGAUAUGCUGCAGCAGAGUGCAAUAGAUGGAGUAGGAGCAGUUUGAAGAGAAUGGGGGUAAUUCCAUGCCAUCAGUGAUGGUGAAGGAUGUGGUGGCAUUGAACAUUUAAGAACAGGAGAUGAUUGGGAAGACUGGCACAAGCCAGUAAUGGGUGGGGUAACAUCUGGAAAAGGGUUUGUAAGAAACAACAGUAGAAUAAUACUGUGAGUCUGGUGGAGAACAAUGUUAAAUGCUUAAAAUUUUUAUCAACGCUAACAUAACUUAGAAGUUUGAAAUUGGUAUAUUAACCUAAAUAUGUAUCUACAAAUUGGGUACGGUAUUAUAUUGUAUGCCACAAGUAAAUAAAACUUAGUUGUGAAAAAUGAAAUUCUCAUAUCCAACAAAACAUAGAGAUUUAUUAAGAAUGCCAGGACUUCUCAUUGUAUGUUGUGUGUAUAACACAGACAAUGUCAACAAUAUGGGGAUCAGAUUGUAAAUAGAACCAUCUUAAAGUACCUAUUGGAGCUAUGAAGGGAAAGGACUUAUUCAAAAACCACUUUUAUAAAUUACUACUAAAUAGCUUUUACUAUUGUGUUUUAGAAUACAUGUUUCACCAAUCUUGAGCAUAUUAUAUGCUGUAUACCUAUCUACAAUCAUGUGCAAAAUUUAGUUGUUACCUUUAUGAUGUAUGUGUAAGUUUAUUUUAUUUUAUUUUAGCCGUCACAUUUUUUUUAUGUAAAUAUGUAAAAAAUUAUUUUAACUUAUGAUGUCAUAACUUAUCUUGUAUGCGAAUAAGUUUAAACUGUUCAUCAGUGGGAUAUGCUGUGUGCAUGCAAACAACUUUACAUUGACAGUGUUAGUGGGAAUGUUUUGAACACCAAACAAUUUGUCGAUGGCACUGAAAAAACAUUUAGCAGUUAUCUUCGUCCUUCAGACUUUGAAGUUUUGUAAGACACUUCCAGCCUAGGCUCUUGAGGUCUUCCUUCACAGCACACUGUUUAACUUGUGUUGGGAGUUUAUCAAUUGCAGCAGAGGUAUUUUCUCUGAAUAUGCCUCUGCUAACCAACAAAAAGUUGUUCUCCAAGUCGGCCAACAUUGAGUACAAUUUGUGACUGAGCAAAUAAUGGGAUUCUUCAAGUUCCACAAUGUUCUCAACAAGUGUGGAGCUGUGUUCUACGAGGAACUGUGCACAGCAUAUCACAGUGUCACGCAUGGUGAUACUCAUGUUACUGAAGUAUUCUGCAGCACUACCACUAUCAUCUAUCUGCUUGAAGAACUCAAUCAAGUCUUCAAGGUACUCUGCAAUGUACUCAACCGAAUGGAACCAUGAGUUCCACCUCAUCAUUACUGGUAAUGGGAAGAGAGUAGCUUUCUUUUCACCGCCUGGAUACUUAUUCUUAAGGAAUGAUGUGUAUCUGUGUUUUUUUUUGCGUGCAUUAAGAAAUGCAUGCUUUGCAUUUUGGACACACAUAUUCAAUUCGGGCAGUGAUGUGCUCCACAAACUAGCAAUGAUAUUAAGUUUGUGUGCCCAGCACUGAACAUGAACCAUACCAUCUGAGAAUAUUACCCGUAACAAGUCCAUGCACUUAGUCAUGUAGCGGGCAGUCACUAACAACAGCUACAACAUUUUCAUACUUAAUUUCGUACUGUGCUACUACAGACAAAAUUGCUCAUGAACAAUCCAUUCCAUUUGCAUUUUCUAAUUCUUUAACUGCUCCUACAAAUAUACGCUGUGUACCGAUGUCCGCAAGAAUACGUAUCAAUACAAUGAACAAACAACACCCCAUUCUGUUUGUUGUUUCAUCACUCAUAAUGACUAUCUUCUGAUUUGCUACAGCUUGCUUUACCUGUAGCGAGAGCUCCUCACUGAUUUUUGGUACAUAAGUUUCUCUUAAAACUUGGGCAGAUGGUAUGUCACCUGAACCUGAAAUUAAAGUACUGAAUAUGGACAUUGUUGACAUAAAUAAGUAACUAUAAGUAAACAUGUCUUGACAUCAUCCCUUCAUAUAAUUUUAAAUACAACAACCUAAUUUAUAUUUUCGCAAAUAUACUAGUCCUAACAUCAAAAUAACAAACCAAUUGACAUAUCAUUAUUUGUAAGUGCAAAAUUUAAACAUACCUGGAACAUAUUAAAUAAAUGUUAUGAAGCCAGUUUUGCAGGCACUUGUUACCUGCCUUUUCAAUUGGAAUAUUGGUUUCCAGCAACAUGUUGGUGAAAUCAACAAUAAAUUCCUGUUCAUUUUGUUUUAAUGUCUGACCUUUAUCAAUUGAGCUGACAAUGCUCAGCUGUUUAGGAGUAGUAUUGUUUUUGAGAUGAUAUUCUUUUUUUUUUUGUGAGAGUCACCAUGUACAUGCUUUUUGCAUGUGUCUUUGCGAUGCCAAUCAACACGACUGUCACAAUACUUACACAUAAUUAUUUGGUUUCGUUCAUCAAAAAUGAAGAAACCAUCACUUUCGAAUUUCUGUGCUCUUUCAUGUAAUGAAAGGAAUUUCAGCAUUUUGUAAAACUUUUCACCAUAAAAAAAGUCAACAUAUAACAACUGCACAGAUUAAAAAAAUGCCAACUUGCGAGAUAUUACAGUUUGUAAGAUUAUCUGGUUGAUACUACCAGGCUGAUCCAACUAUAUGACAGCGCCCCCGGCUGACGUGGUAUGGCCACUCACGUAAGGCUGUUCCAAACACCGUUCGCCCAAUCAUCUGCUUGCUUUUGUAUUUAUCUGGUGUCACUGUUCCAAGCUAACGUCAGUGCCCCGAGCGGUGUGUGUAGGCUUUAAAACUUCGCCUGUUUGUCUUAUCUAUCCAAACAUUAAGCCAGAAAGGAAAAUAAACGCCGUAGUUUUGUGUAUUUUUACAGUAUAUAUUUUUGGGUUUGAUAUUAUAACGUGAGCGUGUGUAAGCUUUUGUUUGCUUUAGUGCAUUUAUGACUAAUGUUCAGUGGCGGCCAUGUUGCGGUGUUUGUUUACCAGUGACGAGAGAAGUCUUUUACCGAGUAUUUAAAUUUCGCGUAAAAACACUGUGAUUUCGCGUUUUAAUACUAAAUUUUGUGUAAAAACGCUGUGUUAUGGCGAUUUCGCGUAAAAACUGUAUUUUACUGUGAUUUCGCGUUUAUCGUCAUUUAAUCGCGAUAGCGAAAUGAACAGACCCCUGCAUAUGACAUUCCAUAAAUUUUCUAUUUGGUUUAAAUCCGGACUUCUAGCAGGCCAGUCCGACAGUGAAAUCCAUUGUUGCUGCAGAUAUGUGACAUGGAGCAUUAUCUUGAUUAGGCAGAUGGAAUCAUAUUCUCCUGCAUAGUUUCUAUGUAUUUUUGCGAAUCCAUUGUCCCAUCAAUGAAUCUUAACAUUCCAGUACCUUCUGAUGACAUGCAACCCCAGAUCAUGACUGAACCACCUCCUCCCUGGACAGCUGGUACAAGACAGUUAGGAUUUAACUUUUCUGUGGCGGUUCUCUGAACUUUCAUCUUUCGGGAACUGUAGAGUUCAAAUCUCAAUUCAUCGCUGAAUAUAACUUUUCCCCAAUGUUCCAUGUACUAGUUCCUCUUCCCUUUGCACCAGUUUCUACGGUUCAUCUUGUGAGUAUUAUUUAACAGUGUUUUUUUUAACGGAACAUAGGAAUACAGUCCUUUUUCCCUCAGUCGACGAGAAAUUGUCAUUGUUGAUACUUUAAUGUUUGUACUAUCUUCAAAUUCCCUUUUAAUUGUACGUAGCGACGACUUACGGUUCAUUUUAGCCGCUUUACAGAUGACUCUGUCUUCACGCACAGUUGUUGCUCUAGGCCAGCCACUGCGUGGUUUAUCCGUCACCUCACCCUCCUCUGUAAAUUUUUUUAUUGUGUUCGUUACACAGGUCUUACUCACACCUAACUCUAAGGCGAUCGUUCUGUGAAACUUAGCGCAUUACUCAUACCAAUUAUUUGCCAUUUCAAAGACUCAGAUACAGAUUUUUUUCCCCAUUUUAACAAUAAUUAACACACUCACAACCUUUACCCAUAACCCAUACGAACGAAGCUAUUCUGGUGAAACAGGUGUUCUUAACAAAAAGGUGUCUGUGCUGCUAUCUUUCGAGGAAAAUAUAAACUACUGAAUGGCAUUCAUAUAGUCUCGCUAGUUCACUCGAUAAUAUUGUUUUAAAAUAUAUUA